UUAUUUGUCAAAUAUAUUUUGUAAUUGCGUGUUGUUACUUACCAAUUUGUGUGAAAAGUUUUAAUAAAUGUAUCUCAUGAACCGUAAGUUUGCGCAACCUAAAUCUUUGCAAAACUCUUUCUUUUAUGUUAAAGUUUGGGCUAAAUUUUGUUUUCCUAAUGGUGAUGGGACAUCCAUUGAAUCAUUAAAAACAGUGAAUGCCCAGCAUAGGAUACUAUGUGAAAAUCAUUUGAAUGAAUCUUCAUUUACCAGCAGCGAUAGGAAAAGACUUAACAAGUUAGAUUAAGAGUGAAUAGAGGAGGAUAUAGACCAAUUAAAAAACAAACAUUGUAGUCCAUAUAGAGCAAGUUAUGACAUCCAAGAACCAUCAACUAGCAAAGGUAUUUUGUAGGACUUGGACGUGAAAAAGUUCAGUGAACUUACAGCUCAAAAGCAAACGCUGUCUAAGAGAUGCAGAAAAAAUCUAUCUGAAAUAGUGAGGCUCUGAAAAAAGUUUCAAGGUUAUUUUGUCAGCUCUCUCAAGGCAUUAUUGAACAAAAUUCCAAUGGUAUGUGGAAUCAACAGCCCAGUAAUACAGACAGUAAAAGAAAUCACAAAAGACCAAGAUGUCAAUGAUAAUUUAUGUAAAAUGGCUUUUGAUGAAAUGUCAAUAAGAAAAAAUCUGACAUAUAACGUAAAACUCAAUGCUAAGGCCGUACUAGUGUGAUAGCAAACCAUAGUCGAACUUUCAUGGUUAUUGGUGUUCGAAAAUGCUGGAAACAGCCAAUAGCAUUUUACUUCUCAGGAGAUUGUGACACAGCAGACAAGUCAGCAGCUCUUGUCGAGGAGGUACAGUAAAGUGGAGCCACAUAGAGGAGUUUUAUAAUAAAGAUCGCGAGAAUCCCAACCGUGUUUGCUCCAGCUUUAACCCAGCACCACUUACAACCAGUACAGAAUGGCAAACAGAAAAUCAAAGAGCGCCUAGCAGAUCAAAUUUUAAGCCAUUCGGUUGCAGUUGGAAUAUUUGCCAAAAUGAAUGAUGACAAGACGCCCCUGGAACAACUGUCGCUGGACAAGCUUUUCGACUGAACGGAGAUUCGACCGACAGGAAAGA